rnacentral:rRNA from 1 species
GAUGAACGCUGGCGGCGUGCCUAAUGCAUGCAAGUCGAGCGAACGGACGAGAAGCUUGCUUUUCUGAUGUUAGCGGCGGACGGGUGAGUAACACGUGGAUAACCUACCUAUAAGACUGGGAUAACUUCGGGAAACCGGAGCUAAUACCGGAUAAUAUUUUGAACCGCAUGGUUCAAAAGUGAAAGACGGUCUUGCUGUCACUUAUAGAUGGAUCCGCGCUGCAUUAGCUAGUUGGUAAGGUAACGGCUUACCAAGGCAACGAUGCAUAGCCGACCUGAGAGGGUGAUCGGCCACACUGGAACUGAGACACGGUCCAGACUCCUACGGGAGGCAGCAGUAGGGAAUCUUCCGCAAUGGGCGAAAGCCUGACGGAGCAACGCCGCGUGAGUGAUGAAGGUCUUCGGAUCGUAAAACUCUGUUAUUAGGGAAGAACAUAUGUGUAAGUAACUGUGCACAUCUUGACGGUACCUAAUCAGAAAGCCACGGCUAACUACGUG